AGCAGCCGCGGUAAUUCCAGCUCCAAUAGCGUAUAUUAAAGUUGUUGCAGUUAAAAAGCUCGUAGUUGAAUUUCGGGAUCAAGUCGUCGGUCGUGCUCAGGUACGUACUGGCGUCAUUGAUUUCUCCCUUCUGACGAACCAUGAUGUCAUUAAUUUGGUGUCAUGGGAAAUCAGGACUGUUACUUUGAAAAAUUAGAGUGUUUAAAGCAGGCUCACGCUUGAAUACAUUAGCAUGGAAUAAUGAAAUAGGACGUUCGAUCCUAUUUUGUUGGUUUUUAGGAUCAACGUAAUGAUUAAUAGGGAUAGUUGGGGGCAUUAGUAUUCAAUUGUCAGAGGUGAAAUUCUUGGAUUUAUUGAAGACUAACUACUGCGAAAGCAUUUGCCAAGGAUGUUUUCAUUAAUCAAGAACGAAAGUUAGGGGAUCGAAGACGAUCAGAUACCGUCGUAGUCUUAACCAUAAACUAUGCCGACUAGGGAUCGGAUGAUGUUAAUUUUUAUG
rnacentral:misc_RNA from 1 species